rfam:Danio rerio chromosome 7, GRCz11 reference primary assembly.
CCAAAGGCUCUUUUCAGAGCCACUCAAUUUACACAAAACGAGAGAAU